rnacentral:rRNA from 1 species
UACGGAGGGGGCUAGCGUUAAUCGGAAUUACUGGGCGUAAAGCGUGCGCAGGCGGUUUCGUAAGUCUGUCGUGAAAGCCCCGGGCUCAACCUGGGAAUUGCGAUGGAGACUGCGAGGCUAGAGUGUGUCAGAGGGGGGUAGAAUUCCACGUGUAGCAGUGAAAUGCGUAGAUAUGUGGAGGAACACCGAUGGCGAAGGCAGCCCCCUGGGAUGACACUGACGCUCAUGCACGAAAGCGUGGGGAGCAAACAGG